rnacentral:lncRNA from 1 species
CUUAAAAUACAACCAUUUUCCCAGAUAAAUAUAGCAUAUCAUUGAGCUAAUCAAAAAUGGAUUCUUUUCUCUUAUAUUGACAAAUCUCUACUCUGAACUUAACACCAGAGUUAGCCAAAUUUUAAUAAAGAUCUUUAACAGCAAAGCUAGUUAACAGUUAAUAUUAAAGCAAAUCCAAACUCCGGAACGCUCUCAUUUUCUAUUGUUUUUCGUCACUUCCAAAUCCUCCCAAACACAAUAGACUCAAGACAAGUCUUGGCUUUGUACCAGUGGGGAAAAGUCUCUCUUCCUCUUCUAUUUAGAUCGUGCCACAAGAGCCUAAAGGCUCUCCUGGUGGUACACAAAGAGUUCUUUACAUUAGAAAUGCAUAAAAUGCUUUCUAGCUUUGUUCUAUAGUCCUUGACCCGGUAACUGGACCCAAAAAGUAAACUUCUGGGCUCUGAUGGUAAAGAACAAGUGCAGUUUAUCAGAAAAACGUACUUAGAAAACCACAUUAGAAAGAUGCAUCAGCAAAAUAUUCUGCACACCUACACCCAAACUUUCAGCUCCUCUCUGUCUAAUUCAAUGGCUACCUGAACUGAAUUCAUUCUCCCAAUCCCAUCCCUUUCAUUAUAGUUUUUAUUUGUUUGAAUCUGUGUGUUAAAACACAGAAGAGAAAUUUGCAGGUUGAAAUGCUGUCUUCAAAAUCAUAAGCUGGAAAAUAGGAGUUCUAGAGGGUCAAGAUUUUAACAUGAAAGAGAUGUACAGAAUAACUUCACUGAAAAAUAAAGGGAAAAUAAAUGAGAACCACUGGGAGAGAAGAGAAAAAUACAUGAUAAGGAAAAAGAAAACAAUACAGAAUAAAAGAAAGAGAAGGAAAAAGGUAUAGGAGGGAGAAAGAGAAGGGGAAAGGUAUAGGAGGGAGAAAGAGAAGGGGGAAGGUAUAGGAGGGAGAAAGAGAAGGGGAAGGUAUAGGAGGGAGAAAGAGAAGGGGGAAGGUAUAGGAGGGAGAAAGAGAAGGGGAAGGUAUAGGAGGGAGAAAGAGAAGGGGAAGGUAUAGGAGGGAGAAAGAGAAGGGGAAGGUAUAGGAGGGAGAAAGUAAAGGGAACAUGAAAA